rnacentral:rRNA from 1 species
CCUACGGGAGGCAGCAGUCGAGAAUCAUUCACAAUGGGGGAAACCCUGAUGGUGCGACGCCGCGUGGGGGAAUGAAGGUCUUCGGAUUGUAAACCCCUGUCAUGUGGGAGCAAAGUAAAAAGAUAGUACCACAAGAGGAAGAGACGGCUAACUCUGUGCCAGCAGCCGCGGUAAUACAGAGGACUCAAGCGUUGUUCGGAAUCACUGGGCGUAAAGCGUGCGUAGGCGGUUUCGUAAGUCGUGUGUGAAAGGCGCGGGCUCAACCCGCGGACGGCACAUGAUACUGCGAGACUAGAGUGAUGGAGGGGGAACCGGAAUUCUCGGUGUAGCAGUGAAAUGCGUAGAUAUCGAGAGGAACACUAGUGGCGAAGGUGGGUUCCUGGACAUUAACUGACGCUGAGGCACGAAGGCCAGGGGAGCGAAAGGGAUUAGAUACCCUUGUAGUC